AAAUAACUUGCCCAAGAUCGCCCAAGAUCACCCAAGAUGUCCGGCUGAAGUUCUUAACCAUUACCUUACACUAAUCAACAGCAACAAUAAUAAUAACCACCUUUCUAGGAUGCAAAUUAUGUUCCAAGAACUUUCAUUAUUUCAUUACAUCUGCAUAGCCCCAAGAGUAAAUAAUAUCCUGUUCUAUUGAAGAAGAAACUGAGGUCCCAAGACAUGAAAUUACUUGCUCAAGGUCACACACUGCCCUCAACUCUGUGAUGUCAAAAUUCCCUUCUCCAUAGGUAACAGAUCCUAUCUGGCUACUUUUCAUUAUUAAGGAGAAUGGAGAUGUCUCGGAUUUUUUGUGCACAAAUUGUCCUCAGAACCAAACAAAAUAACCAGCAUAGGAGAGAAUUCACAAAGUAAGAGACUCAUAAAGUAAAAUGUUUUGCUUUACUUUUUGCCUUUUUCAUCCUGCUUUGUUUUUCAACAUGUGUAAAUCAUUCUGUUACUAUAAACUUAAUAAAGAAGUAAAAGAGCAAAGACCAAAAAAAAAAAAAAAAAAAAAAAAAAAAAA
rnacentral:lncRNA from 1 species